rnacentral:lncRNA from 1 species
GUGAGGGACUGCGCGCCCAGCGCCAGUUCCGCAGCCACCCUGAGAAGUGGCCAAGCGAGCCCCCAAACUCUGCCGAACGCAGUUAACGCGUGUUUCCUCUCCCCCUUCAAAGACAGCCCCGAGAGUGGCGCCCACCUCGGGGGAGAUGGACAGAUACCAACGACUCUUAAUCACCCCCGCCGUUUCCCAUUUCACUCUAGUUUAACCCCGAGUCCCAGAGUAGGUCUCAAAAGUCUCCCCAAGGCAGUGCCCAAGAGAACCGCGCCCCACAUAGUGCCCUGGCUGGCAGCACAGGGACGUCUCCCCUCGGCGACCGUCCCCCUGCGAUGUUCCCCCAAAUCUACGCGGCUUCAGCCCCCUGUGCUCCAGCCCCCUCCCCGGCGCGAGGCGGGCAGCGCGCCCUGCUCACCAACGUCCCCGGCGGCGACAGUGGCGCAGGCGGGAGCCCAGGGCGCGGGGGCCCCCGGCAGGUCGCACCGGGCCCCGGGGCGUCUCCUGCAGUCCCGUUGGCAGUUGGGCCAGUAGUUUCGGACGCCCGGGCUUGGGCUCGGCGGAGAGCGAGUCUGCGUGGAUGGGAGCGAGCUAGCGGAGCUGUGCGUGCGCGUGUGAGAGUAAGAGGCGGGCGGGCCUUAGGCGCAGGCGGCGGCGGCGGCGGCGAGGUCCAGGGCGGGGAGCCUCGAGGGGGAGGAGGCCGGCGAGAAGUAGUGGAGUUUAGGGCUCGUUUCCUGCACUUCCCCAGGAGGCUGGAGCCAGGAUACAGCCUGAAGGACAAAGCUGUUGAGUUCUAGAAAGAGAUAACUCAAAUCACUGAAGGAAGAAAAAUGUGAUUCAAGGCUUAUGGAUCAUUAUAAUAUUGGAAGUACUUUGCUGUUCCUUCCCUGCUCUCAAGUGAUUCCUAGUCUGGUGGCGAAAACAUGAAUGCACAUAGCUAACCAUACUGAAAUGUGGUGACUGAGGACUGGCUUCACCAGAGAAGGUGUCGAUUUCUCUGUGUGAAGACAUGUCCUGGGAAGCUCUGUGUAGAAGUCCGUAGAGUGAGGAACUGAAACCUCCUGCCAAGAACCACAUGAGUGAACUUGGAUGCAGGUUCUUCAGCCUCAAUCAAUCUUCAGAGACUAAAUACAAUCACAGCAACAAUUCUGAGCAACCUCAUGAGAAACUCUGAGCAAGAACCACUCAGCUAAGCCAUGUCUAGAUGUCAAACACUUAGAAAUUGUGAGUUUUUUGUUUUUUUGUUGUUUGUUUUUGCUUUAAGAUACCACAUUUGAGGAUAAUUUGUUACAUAAUAGUAGGUAACUAAUACAAUCUCUAAAUUUACAUCUCCAGUCAGACCUCUGACCUGAACUUUAGACUUGUAUAUCCAACAGUCUGCUUGCUAUCUCUACCUAGAUGUCUUAUAGACAUUUCGAUUUCAGUGUUUAAACUCGUACUCUUUGCUCUCACCUCUCACCCAAAGUUCAACAUAACUUCCGUGUAGGUUAAAUUCUUCAUGCCAGUUAUUAAUUCAUGGAGAAAUCCUUGACUUCUGUCUUUUACACUCUUGCCCCAACCUAUCUAGAAAUUCUUUUGGCUCUACUUGAAAGUUAUUUCCUGAGUUGACCACUGCUCACCACCUCACUGCUACCAUUCUAGUGCAAGUCAGUCUCAUUCUUCAUUUGAUUGUUGCCAGAAACUCCCUAUUGCCUUUCAAUUUCUAUUCUUGUCUCCUUCCCCCCACUGCAGAGUCUCAACACAGAAGGCAGUUUUCCUUUCAAAAUGUAUCCUUAUCCUUUAAAAACUUGAGUUAAAUUUCCCAUUUAGAUACUGGUGGGGUUGCUAGUAUCAGACUAACCUUCCUGUACAUAGCAAUUAUAAACCCUGGACAAAAUAUUUUUUAAAAAGCAGUUAAAUCCCCUCUCAGUGUCUGCUGACUUUGGAUUAGCACUGGUACAUAAUCCAAAGUCGGCAGACGCUGAGAGGCGAUUUAAUGUUUGAAAGAAGA